UACGUAGGGGGCAAGCGUUGUCCGGAUUUAUUGGGCGUAAAGCGCUCGUAGGCGGUCUGUUGCGUCCGCUGUGAAAACCCGGGGCUUAACCCCUGGCUUGCAGUGGAUACGGACAGACUAGAGGUAGGUAGGGGAGAAUGGAAUUCCCGGUGUAGCGGUGAAAUGCGCAGAUAUCGGGAGGAACACCGGUGGCGAAGGCGGUUCUCUGGGCCUUACCUGACGCUGAGGAGCGAAAGCGUGGGGAGCGAACAGG
rnacentral:rRNA from 1 species